UGGAAUUCAGGGCAAAGCUAUCGUGAGGUAGUGACGCAAAGCUACAGGGUCUGAGACUUCUCAGACAGCCAGCUGCCUGC
rnacentral:ncRNA from 1 species